GACCUGUCCACACACACGCUCGAUGGCGGUCCACAGGGAAAAAGACCACCGUAGCGACCGGCGAUAUGGCAGCACGCCGAGUCAGCAUUCUCAAACCCUAUUCAAAUGCAGCGAACGAAGUUUUCAAUGUGAAAACCAGAUUCCAGCUGAACCAGAAGCAUAGUUGAUGCCUCGAAGAAUCACCCGUCCAGUCGUGGAAGGUGCCAUGUAUGGGGGAGUGAAUGUCUUGAACCCAAGCUCCUGACCUGGAAGCAGGAUUUUUGCUGAGAAAGAGCAGAAGCAAAGUUAAAGCGUCCUGUUGGUGAAGGACAUGGAGAUGAAUUCGGUACUCUGUUCAUAGCUUAAUAGCCUUUAUAUUUUCUUUGCUGAAUUCUUCCGUACUUCGCUCAUAAUAGCAUUUAUAUUUUUGAA